rnacentral:rRNA from 1 species
GACGAACGCUGGCGGCGUGCUUAACACAUGCAAGUCGAACGGAAAGGCCCUGCUUUUGUGGGGUGCUCGAGUGGCGAACACGUGAGUAACACGUGAGUAACCUGCCCUGGACUUUGGGAUAACUUCAGGAAACUGGGGCUAAUAACGGAUAGGAGCUCCUGCUGCAUGGUGGGGGUUGGAAAGUUCCGGCGGUUGGGGGGGGACUCGCGGCGCAUCAGCUUGGUGGUGGGGUGGUGGCUUACCAAGGCGUUGACGGGUAGCCGGCCUGAGAGGCUGACCGGCCACAUCGGGACUGAGAUACGCCCCAGACUGCUACGGGAGGAAGUGGUGGGGAACAUUGCACAAUGGGCGGAAGCCUGAUGUAGGCACGCCGCGUGCGGGAUGCCGGCCUCCGGGUUGUAAACCGCUUUCGCCUGUGACGAAGCGUUAGUGACGGUAAUGGGUAAAGAAGCACCGGCUAACUACGUG